UAUAUUUGACUUUCUUAAAACAAGAUAAGUUCCACGAGAAUUAAGAAAAGAGCGAGCUGGAAUAUUUCUUGGCGAGCUGAUUAAUUUCCAGGGACAUCGUUCUAGCAUUUUUAUUAAUACAACACUUUAAGAUGUCAGAGCUUCAAGCUGUUAGUUAUACCCAAUAUACUGCUCUUCUAUUUAAGAUAAUUAAAGUUUUUAAAUCUAUAUUUAAAUAGAAUAAACUUGGCUGAUAGAAUAUGAAAAACAGACGAAACGUUCAGUCAGAAAAACCUCAAAUAGCCUCCAAAGAGGCAACUUUUUAAUAGAUGGUAUAUAUGAAUAAAAGAACUAAGAGAAGGAUAAUUCUCAAACCUUUAGUUC